AGCGAACGCUGGCGGCAGGCUUAACACAUGCAAGUCGAACGCAUCCUUCGGGGUGAGUGGCAGACGGGUGAGUAACGCGUGGGAACGUGCCCUUCAGUUCGGGAUAACCCAGGGAAACUUGGGCUAAUACCGGAUACGUGCGAGAGCAGAAAGAUUUAUCGCUGAAGGAUCGGCCCGCGUCUGAUUAGCUAGUUGGUGGGGUAAUGGCCCACCAAGGCGACGAUCAGUAGCUGGUCUGAGAGGAUGAUCAGCCACAUUGGGACUGAGACACGGCCCAAACUCCUACGGGAGGCAGCAGUGGGGAAUAUUGGACAAUGGGCGCAAGCCUGAUCCAGCCAUGCCGCGUGAGUGAUGAGGGCCUUAGGGUUGUAAAGCUCUUUCGUCCGGGACGAUAAUGACGGUACCGGAAGAAGAAGCCCCGGCUAACUUCGUGCCAGCCGCCGCGGUAA
rnacentral:rRNA from 1 species